UACCGAGUGGCGGACGGGUGAGUAACGCGUGGGUAACCUGCCUCAUACAGGGGGAUAACGGUUAGAAAUGACUGCUAAUACCGCAUAAGCGCACAGUACCGCAUGGUACGGUGUGAAAAACUCCGGCGGUAUGAGAUGGACCCGCGUCUGAUUAGCUAGUUGGUGGGGUAACGGCCUACCAAGGCGACGAUCAGUAGCCGACCUGAGAGGGUGACCGGCCACAUUGGGACUGAGACACGGCCCAA
rnacentral:rRNA from 1 species